rnacentral:rRNA from 1 species
AAACCAACCGGGAUUGCCUUAGUAACGGCGAGUGAAGCGGCAAGAGCUCAAAUUUGAAAUCCCCUGCCCUGGGGAGUUGUAAUUUGUAGGUUGUGGUUUGAGAGGGUGGCGCAAGUCUGCUGGAACGCAGUGCCUCAGAGGGUGAGAGCCCCGUAAGCUACAUUUCAUUGUAAACCACAUCCAAAGAGUCGAGUUGUUUGGGAAUGCAGCUCUAAGUGGGAGGUAAAUUCCUUCUAAAGCUAAAUAUUGGCGAGAGACCGAUAGCGAACAAGUACAGUGAUGGAAAGAUGAAAAGAACUUUGAAAAGAGAGUGAAAAAGUACGUGAAAUUGUUAAAAGGGAAGGGUACUGCAUGAGACUUGGCCGGUGUGUUCAGCUGUCGUUUGCGGCAGUGUACUCGCAUCGGCUAGGCCAGGGAGAGGUGUUUGGGAGUGAAAAAAGGCCGGGAACGUGGCUCUUCGGAGUGUUAUAGCCCUGCCCAAUAGCUCCUCAGGCGCCUCAGGACUGCGCUUCGGCAAGGNCUCUGGCGUAAUCAUACAGUACCGC